AGUCAAUAAAUUUAAUAAAUAAAUUUACUUCCGAAUCCACCUUCAAACCAGAAUCAAAAAUAGUUAUUCGUAUAAAUAAAAUUAUUGUAACCCAUUUCUACUUAAACAUUAGCUUCACCUUGACCUGACAUUUUUAUAUUAAAUAAUUAAGAAAAUUUAUUCUAAAAAAAUAUUCUUAUGACGGAGGUAUAAAAACUGAAUAACAAGAUUAAGUAAAUAAAAUCGUGGAUUAUCAAUUACAGAACAGGUUCCUCCGGAAAGAAUAAAAUACCGCCAAAUUCUUUGGGUUUCAAGAACAUAACUAAUACUACCCAAGUAAAAAAA
rnacentral:rRNA from 1 species